CCCAGACUCCUACGGGAGGCAGCAGUGGGGAAUAUUGCACAAUGGGCGCAAGCCUGAUGCAGCCAUGCCGCGUGUAUGAAGAAGGCCUUCGGGUUGUAAAGUACUUUCAGUCGGGAGGAAGGUGGUAAGGUUAAUAACCUUAUCAAUUGACGUUACCGACAGAAGAAGCACCGGCUAACUCCGUGCCAGCAGCCGCGGUAAUACGGAGGGUGCAAGCGUUGUCCGGAAUCAUUGGGCGUAAAGAGUUCGUAGGCGGUAUGUUAAGUCUGGUGUUAAAUGCAGGAGCUCAACUUCUGUUCGGCACUGGAUACUGGCAAACUAGAAUGCGGUAGAGGUAAAGGGAAUUCCUGGUGUAGCGGUGAAAUGCUUAGAUAUCAGGAGGAACAGCGGUGGCGUAAGCGCUUUACUGGGCCGUAAUUGACGCUGAGGAACGAAAGCCAGGGUAGCAAAUGGGAUUAGAUACCCCGGUA
rnacentral:rRNA from 1 species